GCCCAAACCAAGUACUGAGUCCAUAUGCAUGCUUAUACUUUUCAGAGGUCCAAUAUUGUUCUAUGUACACUCCUUGUUUUAUUGAUUGCAUGUAAUAUUCUAAUUUACUGAGAUUGUGGAUUUGGGGUUUUCAUGAGCUGUAAGCCAUAAUGAUCGCACUUAUGACAAAUCAUGGCUUGAACUAUCUUGCUUUGCAUGUAAUGCGUCUAUCUCAUAUAUUAGUUUCCGCUUUUACGUUGCAUUACUGAAAUAAAUUAACUUUUG